GAACCAGGCAGUGGGCGGGGAGGGGGCCAGGAGAGCCCAGAGCAAGCACCCUGCCCCACCCCACCACACAGAACGACCACCAGCUGUCAGUGGCGGAGCUGGAACAGAAAUACCAGACCAGUGCCACCAAGGGCCUCUCUGCGAGCCUGGCUGCUGAGCUGCUGCUGCGGGAUGGGCCCAACGCACUGCGGCCACCACGGGGCACCCCAGAGUACGUCAAGUUCGCGAGGCAGCUGGCCGGGGGCCUGCAGUGCCUCAUGUGGGUUGCCGCCGCCAUCUGCCUCAUCGCCUUUGCCAUCCAGGCUAGUGAGGGGGACCUCACCACCGAUGACAAUCUGUACCUGGCAAUCGCUCUCAUUGCUGUGGUUGUCGUCACCGGCUGCUUUGGCUACUACCAGGAAUUCAAGAGCACCAACAUCAUCGCCAGCUUUAAGAACCUUGUGCCACAG
rnacentral:sRNA from 1 species